rnacentral:rRNA from 1 species
AUACGGAGGACGCGAGCGUUAUCCGGAUUCAUUGGGUUUAAAGGGUGCGCAGGCGGCCGUGCAAGUCAGCGGUGAAAGCCCGGGGCUCAACCCCGGAAGUGCCGUUGAUACUGCAUGGCUGGAAUGCGGUCGAGGCGGGCGGAACGUGGGGUGGAGCGGUGAAAUGCGUAGAUAUGCCACAGAACGCCGAUAGCGGAGGCAGCUCGCCAGGCCUGCAUUGACGCUCGGGCACGAAAGCGUGGGGAUCGAACAGGAUUAGAUACCCUGGUAGUCCACGCCGUAAACGAUGGGCGCUCGUCGUCGGCGGCAGACAGUCGGCGGCCAAGCGAAAGCGAUAAGCGCCCCACCUGGGGAGUACGGUCGCAAGGCUGAAACUUAAAGGAAUUGACGGGG